ensembl:lncRNA
GUUUAUUGUUAAAAUACGAAUAUUUAGUUGUAUUUUGGGUGCGUGUCGAAAAGAAUAGCAGAAAUGUCGGUCCGUGUUUUUUAUGUGCUUUGCUGCUCUCCCCGAAGGAAACUUUGCGCUUGCAGAGCUAGCAUUAAGUUGUUGUAAUGAGGGUCGCAGGCUGUUUAAAAAGUUAGAUACUACUUGCUCUAGAGGUGGCGCCCGGUCGCCUAGUAUGAAACAAAGUAUUUUAAUCUCUCUAAAUUUUUAAACCCCCUCUCAUGACUCAGAAUAGUUGGGUCCAAACAAGCCCGUUGUCCCUGCAGUUACACAACGGAGAUGCCUGUCUGCAGUGAGAGUCCUUUCAAGCAGUUUUCUUGUUAGAAACGCUAUAUUUUAAACUAUAUGUGCAGGGUUAGGGUUGUGAAGGAGCUCUUGGACCUCUGGCCUGCUCUAAAAAUGGAGUCUGAGUUGUAUGCAGAGUUUCAGCGGAUUACAAAUCAGAACCUGCCCAAUACAUUCUACGCUGAACUUGACCGCCAUCUUCCUCGACUGAUGACCUUAUUCAGCCAGGGCAUCAAAAACUGGGAAGACAGCAGAUGCCCUGGUUGAAAUUCUAAGAAUUCACAAUGAACAGGAAAUCCAUGAUAUCCACACCAAGUGCACUACCGUUCUCCCUGCCCUUCCUGUCUAUCUGCAUGAGGAUGUCUCUGGAUUUUUCAGAACCUGCACUGACGAAUCUGAUGAGUUGGAGCUUGAUGGUGUUGAAGUGGCCUCUUCACUGUCAUCAGUGACCAUCACACAAUAAGUCCAGUUCACUACCAACCUGUGAAAAUCUCUGUCGUCAUUGAAAGUGAUGCCGUGUUCAGUCUCCCCAGAUUUGGUGAAGCCUUCCUAGUAAUGUUUGGACUGAUCUAUGCACUUCACCACAGCUACCCCAAAGCCCUGACC